UACGUAGGGUGCAAGCGUUGUCCGGAAUUAUUGGGCGUAAAGAGCUCGUAGGCGGUUUGUUGCGUCGGCUGUGAAAUCCCGAGGCUCAACCUCGGGUCUGCAGUCGAUACGAGCAAACUAGAGUGUUGCAGGGGAGACUGGAAUUCCUGGUGUAGCGGUGGAAUGCGCAGAUAUCAGGAGGAACACCGAUGGCGAAGGCAGGUCUCUGGGCACUUACUGACGCUGAGGAGCGAAAGCGUGGGGAGCGAACAGG
rnacentral:rRNA from 1 species